ACAAAUAUUUUUUAAAUUGAGGAAAUUUAGAAGGAUAGUUUAUUUAUUUGAAGAAUUUAACUUUUUAUAUAUUAAAAUAACCUAUGAUCAAUCCCAACCCAGAGAAGAUAAAGGAAUUGAACCUCUGAUAGCCUUUUCAUUUCAUUAAAUGGAAAUAGGGCGGCUCAAAAUAGCUAGUAUGAAAGAACUGACUUUCUUCUUGAAAAAGUAAAUAUAUAUGAUUUCAUAAUAAAGGCUGAGACAAAUUCUGUGUUUACUUCGCAAUAACCUUAACUUGACAUUAUCAAGUCAUACUAUCUACCAAAAUGGAUUUGAAACUGACAUUCUUUCUAUCAUAUAUAUCGGAGAUAUAAGGGUUGCACUUCUGCUUAUGGUAACCAAACAAACUCUUUCCCGGAAAGAAGAUCCAACAUUUUAUUCGGGCAAGUUCAGCUAUAGUUGGGAACGACUUUAUGGGGAUGCUCGUCUUUAACUUCUAAUUGAUGUAUGAUAGAGCCUCCAGCAUAUAGGCCUAUCUCACUUGGAUUCUUCUCACGAA
rnacentral:lncRNA from 1 species